rnacentral:rRNA from 1 species
GGGCAACAAUACUGGAACGUUUGUUGCUUUAAAGGCUGCGCUUCGGCGUUUGCGCUUUAGGAUGGGCCUGCGGCAGAUUAGGCAGUUGGUGAGGUAAUGGCUCACCAAACCUAUAAUCUGUACGGGCAAUGGGAGUUGUGGCCCGGAGAAGGGAACUGAGAUAAGGUCCCUAGCCCUACGGGGUGCAGCAGUUACGAAAACUUCGCAAUGCGCGAAAGCGUGACGAGGGGACUCCAAGUGCCUGCACUUUGUGUGGGCUUUUCCCAAGUCUAAAUAGUUUGGGGAAUAAGGACUGGGUAAGACUCGUGCCAGCCGCCGCGGUAAUACGAGCAGUCCAAGUGGUGUCCGUGAAUAUUGGGCUUAAAGCGUCCGUAGCCGGCUCGAUAAGUCCUUAGUGAAAGCCCAUCGCCUAACUUUGGGAAGUGCUAAGGAUACUAUCGAACUUGGAGGCGGGAGAGGCCAGAGGUAUUUCUAGAGUAGCGGUAGAAUGCUAUAAUCCUAGAAAGACCAUCGGUAGCGAAGGCGUCUGGCUAGAACGCGCUCGACGGUGAGGGACGAAGGCUAGGGUAGCGACCCGGAUUAGAUACCCGGUUAGUCCUAGCUGUAAAUUAUGCAGACUUGGUGUUAUGUGACCCUAGAGGUUAUGUGGUGCCG